rnacentral:rRNA from 2 species
UGGGGGAUAUUGCACAAUGGGCGAAAGCCUGAUGCAGCGACGCCGCGUGGGGGAUGAUGGCUUUCGGGUUGUAAACCUCUUUCGCUAUCGAACAAGGCCCGCUUAGGGUGGGUUGAGGGUAGGUGGAGAAGAAGCGCCGGCUAACUACGUGCCAGCAGCCGCGGUAAUACGUAGGGCGCGAGCGUUGUCCGGAAUUAUUGGGCGUAAAGGGCUUGUAGGCGGCUUGUUGCGCCUGCUGUGAAAACGCGGGGCUUAACUUCGCGCGUGCAGUGGGUACGGGCAGGCUUGAGUGUGGUAGGGGUGACUGGAAUUCCAGGUGUAGCGGUGGAAUGCGCAGAUAUCUGGAGGAACACCGAUGGCGAAGGCAGGUCACUGGGCCAUUACUGACGCUGAGGAGCGAAAGCAUGGGUAGCGAACAGG